rnacentral:rRNA from 1 species
GAUGAACGCUGGCGGCGUGCCUAAUACAUGCAAGUCGAGCGAACAGACGAGGAGCUUGCUCCUCUGACGUUAGCGGCGGACGGGUGAGUAACACGUGUAUAACCUACCUAUAAGACUGGGAUAACUUCGGGAAACCGGAGCUAAUACCGGAUAAUCUAUUGAACCGCAUGGUUCAAUAGUGAAAUACGGUUUUGCUGUCACUUAUAGAUGGAUCCGCGCCGCAUUAGCUAGUUGGUAAGGUAACGGCUUACCAAGGCAACGAUGCGUAGCCGACCUGAGAGGGGGAUCGGCGACACGAGAACUGAGACACGGUCAAGACUCCUACGGGAGGCAGCAGUAGGGAAUCUUCCGCAAUGGGCGAAAGCCUGACGGAGCAACGCCGCGUGAGUGAUGAAGGUCUUGGGAUCGUAAAACUCUGUUAUUAGGGAAGAACAAAUGUGUAAGUAACUAUGCACGUCUUGACGGUACCUAAUCAGAAAGCCACGGCUAACUACGUG